UGGGGAAUAUUGCACAAUGGGCGCAAGCCUGAUGCAGCCAUGCCGCGUGUGUGAAGAAGGCCUUCGGGUUGUAAAGCACUUUCAGCGAGGAGGAAGGCAGUCGUGUUAAUAGCACGGUUGAUUGACGUUACUCGCAGAAGAAGCACCGGCUAACUCCGUGCCAGCAGCCGCGGUAAUACGGAGGGUGCAAGCGUUAAUCGGAAUUACUGGGCGUAAAGCGCACGCAGGCGGUUUGUUAAGUCAGAUGUGAAAUCCCCGCGCUUAACGUGGGAACUGCAUUUGAAACUGGCAAGCUAGAGUCUUGUAGAGGGGGGUAGAAUUCCAGGUGUAGCGGUGAAAUGCGUAGAGAUCUGGAGGAAUACCGGUGGCGAAGGCGGCCCCCUGGACAAAGACUGACGCUCAGGUGCGAAAGCGUGGGGAGCAAACA
rnacentral:rRNA from 1 species